rnacentral:lncRNA from 1 species
AUGGUUGAUCAGUGAUUAAGAAUCAUUCUAGGGUUAAAUGAUCAAUACGAUUGAUAUUUAACCUAGUGCAAGUAUUGCAGGAGGAUCGAUUAGUAAUUCGAUUGCUAAUUGACUUAAUUUGAUUAAGCUAAUAGACUGAAAUUAAGUCUAAUUAAAUAUAAUUUAAUUAGAUUUAGUUUGGGCUUGAUUGGAUCAAGUUCAGUUGAUUUAUUGGAUAAGCCAAGU